rnacentral:rRNA from 1 species
UACGAAGGGGGCUAGCGUUGUUCGGAAUCACUGGGCGUAAAGCGCACGCAGGCGGAUUGAUAAGUCAGGGGUGAAAUCCCGGAGCUCAACUUCGGAAUUGCCUUUGAUACUGUCUAUCUUCGAGUUCGGGAGAGGUUGGCGGAAUUCCUAGUGUAGAGGUGAAAUUCGUAGAUAUUAGGAAGAACACCAGUGGCGAAGGCGGCUCACUGGACCGGUAUUGACGCUGAGGUGCGAAAGCGUGGGGAGCAAACAGG